GUGGGGAAUCUUGCGCAAUGGGCGAAAGCCUGACGCAGCCAUGCCGCGUGAAUGAUGAAGGUCUUAGGAUUGUAAAAUUCUUUCACCGGGGACGAUAAUGACGGUACCCGGAGAAGAAGCCCCGGCUAACUUCGUGCCAGCAGCCGCGGUAAUACGAAGGGGGCUAGCGUUGCUCGGAAUUACUGGGCGUAAAGGGCGCGUAGGCGGACAGUUUAAUCAGAGGUGAAAGCCCAGGGCUCAACCUUGGAAUUGCCUUUGAUACUGGCUGUCUUGAGUACGGGAGAGGUGAGUGGAACUCCGAGUGUAGAGGUGAAAUUCGUAGAUAUUCGGAAGAACACCAGUGGUGAAGGCGACUCACUGGCCCGUUACUGACGCUGAGGCGCGAAAGCGUGGGGAGCAAACAGGAUUAGAAACCCGUGUAGUCC
rnacentral:rRNA from 1 species